GUGUCAGCAGCCGCGGUAAUACGUAGGGGGCAAGCGUUGUUCGGAAUUACUGGGCGUAAAGGGCGCGUAGGCGGCACAGCAAGUCGGGAGUGAAAGCCCGGGGCUCAACCCCGGAACUGCUUUCGAAACUGCUGAGCUAGAGUGCAGAAGGGGCAACUGGAAUUCCCAGUGUAGCGGUGAAAUGCGUAGAUAUUGGGAAGAACACCUGAGGCGAAGGCGGGUUGCUGGGCUGACACUGACGCUGAGGCGCGAAAGCCAGGGGAGCAAACGGGAUUAGAUACCCCGGUAGUCCUGGCCCUAAACGAUGGAUACUUGGUGUAUGGGGUUCUCAAAGUCCCCGUGUGCCGGAGCUAACGCGUUAAGUAUCCCGCCUGGGGAGUACGGUCGCAAGGCUGAA
rnacentral:rRNA from 1 species